AUUGAACGCUGGCGGCAGGCUUAACACAUGCAAGUCGAGCGAGCGGCGGACGGGUGAGUAAUGUCUGGGAAACUGCCUGAUGGAGGGGGAUAACUACUGGAAACGGUAGCUAAUACCGCAUACCAUCAGAUGUGCCCAGAUUGGAUUAGCUAGUAGGUGGGGUAAUGGCUCACCUAGGCGACGAUCCCUAGCUGGUCUGAGAGGAUGACCAUCCAAACGUGAACGGCGACCCGGUCCAGACUCCUACGGGAGGCAGCAGUGGGGAAUAUUGAACAAGGGGCGCAAGCCUGAUGCAGCCAUGCCGCGUGUGUGAAGAAGGCCUUCGGGUUGUAAAGCACUUUCAGCGAGGAGGCGUUACUCGCAGAAGAAGCACCGGCUAACUCCGUGCCAGCAGCCGCGGUAAUUC
rnacentral:rRNA from 1 species